GAUGUCAUCUUCAUUCCCUCUGAUAUGCUUAUUUUCUGUUUGCAGGACCUGAAGCUGAUCUGCUGCCUCGAGUGGUGCGUUCAAGUGCCUGUCAAGAACACAACAGCCUACACACUCGCCUGGAUGUAGUGGAGAAGAAAGUGGAGGACACAGUGGAGAAGUUGGAGGUUGAGCUGGCUGCUCUCCUGGAAGCCAUUGAAGCCCCAAAGUGGAGCUCCCUGCUGGACAAUACAGGAACACCAGCAGUGGAUAUCCUGGAAGACCCCGAGUGGAGGUCCUAAAGCGGAGCCAUUUAUAUUCAUGUUAUUCCUAUAGUCUAAGACACUCCGAAAACAAUAUGGUGAACUCUCUCCUAAAUCUAAAAAACGAGAGUUCGAAAAACCUAAAUGUGUGCUGUCGUCAAGUUUAGGCGACUGUUAGAGGUGGUGGGGUCGUCUGAAGGUUUGGGGUUUGAUCCCAGCCUAUACAGUCAACAUGUUGAUCUUUCCUUGGGCUAGAUACUUCCUCCUAUGACCAACUCUGAGCAUCUCUGAAUGUUAGUUUCCUCAAGGUCUUUGAGGGAUCAUAAAGACUGGAGAAGCACCUUAUAAAUGCAAUCAUUCAAUCAACAUUUACCAUUGUACAAAGUGUGGAACUGCUCAUAAGUAAAUUACUAUAUUAAAAAAAGAUCUCUCCUUCAUUCUUUAGAGCUGAUCAGACUAUACUUGAUGACAUCACAAGUUGAAAGCUUUUCAGGUGUCUGGCUUUGAGAGGGACUAGCUCAUGUUCACAUUGAUUGAUUUAACUUUCUUAGGUCAUGGAAAUAAUAUGUGAAUGUUUUUACUUUACGUGGUCCCUUGAAAUAAAUGUUAACUUGUUUUUA